CCCGUAGGCGGUUUCUUAAGCGUGUGGUGAAAGCCCGGGGCUCAACCCCGGGUCGGCCGUGCGAACUGGGAGACUGGAGCUUGUCAGAGGCAGGCGGAAUUCCGGGUGUAGCGGUGGAAUGCGUAGAGAUCCGGAAGAACACCGGUGGCGAAGGCGGCCUGCUGGGACAGUGCUGACGCUGAUGCGCGACAGCGUGGGGAGCAAACA
rnacentral:rRNA from 1 species